CCUACGGGAGGCAGCAGUGAGGAAUAUUGGUCAAUGGGCGAAAGUCUGAACCAGCCAAGUCGCGUGAAGGAUGACUGCCCUAUGGGUUGUAAACUUCUUUUAUAUGGGAAUAAAAUGUUCCACGUGUGGGAUUUUGUAUGUACCAUAUGAAUAAGGAUCGGCUAACUCCGUGCCAGCAGCCGCGGUAAUACGGAGGAUACGCGCGUUAUCCGGAUUUAUUGGGUUUAAAGGGAGCGUAGGUGGGUUGUUAAGUCAGUUGUGAAAGUUUGCGGCUCAACCGUAAAAUUGCAGUUGAAACUGGAAGUCUUGAGUACAGGAGAGGUAGGCGGAAUUCGUGGUGUAGCGGUGAAAUGCUUAGAUAUCACGAAGAACUCCGAUUGCGAAGGCAGCUUACUGGACUGCAACUGACACUGAGGCUCGAAAGUGUGGGUAGCAAACAGGAUUAGAUACCCGAGUAGUC
rnacentral:rRNA from 1 species